GUCCCUCUUGUCAGUCACGGAGUGUCGCCGUGCGUGCUCCAGGGGGCUCAGGCGGAGCGUGGACCCCAGCUCGAUGUGGAUGGACGGGAUCUCGAAGUGGGUCAUAUCUGUAAGCAGGCAGAGAGAGGGCGCUGAUCGGGGGGCUCCGGCUCCCCAGGAGCCUGCUGGGGGCCGACGUGGUCAGCGUUAGGAAGCAGGGGGCAUAGAGGCCGGCCAGAGCCUGUUAACACACCGUCAGAUUGAGGCCAGAGGCUCUGCUUCUACCUGGGAGGGUGGCAGGCCCGGGCGUCUGGGUUCGGCUGUGGUGACCUACAGGGGCUGGCCCAGGGAGCUCCUGCCCCACAGGAGCCACCCCAGACUCCAGGAGGAGAAGGCGCGGGGCCGUCUCCUUCAGGAUCUACUUAAGAUCAUUUAGCUCUCGUCUGCAGGGCAGGACUGAGACUCUAGAAAGAUCCCCUCAUCCCGUGACCACGAGGAGCAGUCCUUGGGACAGCUGCCUGGGGACCCUGGAUUGCAGGAAACCCCACCUAGGUUCAGGCUGCAGAAGGUCAUUCGUCCGGGGGAGGUCAGGGAGAUGGCCCCCAAGUCCCAUGGCUCAGUGGCUGCAGCCGUUAGGGCAUGGCCAGAAGAGUCCAGAGCCAGCAGCUCGGGGACAUGAGCACCCUGUGCCAUCAGGAUGCUGGGACCAGCCCUCUGCUCUGGGGGUGGAGGUGGACUACUCCGGCCCCACCCUGAGCGUGGUAGGGAAGCAGCUCCGGGCCACUCACGGGAGCUGGGGUGUUUGGGCCAACAUGUCCAGACUGCACAAGGCCAUGCUGCGUGUAGACACACAUGCGACACAGCCCUGAAAGACGCUCCACGGACACGGACGCUCUGGGACACAGGCCGCCUCCCUCGCCCCCUCCGGGGGUCCUCCGGAUGCCACUGCGGCCAGCUCUGACCUGCUGCCGCAGGAGUGGAGGUCUGCUGGGGGGACAGUGGCUCCCCCGGGCCGUCUGUGCUCAGGCCUGCCUCUGCCCUUCCCUCCUGCAGGAGUGAGGCUGGGUGGGCCCGCUGUCAGGUACAAGGACCAGCCUCACUGCUUGGAUCCACAAUGCCCUGUCUGUCAAGCUGUAUGGCUGUGGCCUGGGAACGAGCCUGUCCCCACUCCGGCACCUCAGCAGUGAAAUGGGAGGCAGAGGAGUGAGGCUGGCUGGGCCGGGGCAGUGCAGAGAGCACACCGGGCCACCUUCCUCCUGGCCUGCCCAUUCAGGGACCCCUGUGGGAGCUCUGUUGGGAGCCCUCAGGUCGGGUGGGGGGAGUCCCCGUGCUGCCCCUUCUCCGUGAGGCCAGGCCACCUCUUUACUCUGGCUGCUCUCCUGCUCUUGCCGUGGCUUCACUUUCGAGCCAGAGGAGGGGCCAUACUGCUCCCAAAACACUUCACUGACGUGGACAGACUGGACGUGGCCGGCCAUCCAUCCGCCGGUGAGGGGUGGGUGGGGAAGAGCUCUGAGACCCCGGGGCCUCCGGGAUUUGCCAGCUGCCUCAGCCUGCAGUGAGGCCCGAUGCUGGGGCGGCCCAGGGAGUGCUCCCAGCCGGGCCCUCUGCUAACGGGCUCCCCCCGUGCCCUCCACGUCCUAGGGACGCCGUGGAAGUGAAGAAGAGCUAAGUCUGCUGGAUCUCUUCUAACCAAAGCCAAGGAAGCUGGCAAGACUGCAAGAACACAACAAUAGGCUUCGGAGAAGGAACAGACACGAUGCAACAGCAACGUCACAGAAACACUGCGCCAAGGGGCACGGUCCCAGGCCCGCCACACCGGCCCAGAGGCCCGAGCGUGCAACAGAACGACAGCCUGCUGCUGAAGACUGCAACAACACAGGGCUGGCACUGUGGCACAGCAGGUUAAAGCCCUGGCCUGAGGUACCAGCAUCCCAUAUAGGCGCUGGUUUUAGUCCCAGCUGCUCCUCUUCCGAUCCAGCUCUCUGCUAUGGCCUGGGAAAGCAGUAGAAGAUGGCCCAAAUCCUUGAGCCCCUGCACCCGUGUGGGAGACCCAGAAAAAGCUCCUGCCUUCAGAUCAGCACAGCUCUGGCUAUUGCGGCCGUCUGGAGAAUAAACCAGGGAUGGAAGACCCCUCUCUGUCUAUCUCAGUAACUCUUUCAAAUAAAUAUAAAUCCAAAAAACCUGCAGGCUUUUUCAAAGCCCAUCACCAUCCCGACCUCCUGCGCAUUACUUCCCGUUUCCAGUCUGGAGAUUGCAAAGCAAGCAUGGAGAAGCAAUCCUGACUCCCUCCUCUGCGGCACCAGGUGUGAGGCUGCCCCUGUCUGGACAGGCGGCCGCUGUGGAUGACUCCACACAGCUUUUUAAAUGCUGGAGGUCAGGGACAGCGCUGCAGCAGAGAGGGUGACGCUGCUGCCUAAAACACUGGCAUCUCAUAUGGGUGCCAGUUCAAGUCUGGGCUGCUCCACCUCCAGUCUAGCUCCCUGUUAAUGAGCUUGGGAAAGCAGCAGAAGGUGGCCCAAGUGCUUGGACCCCUGUACCCGUGGGGGAAACCCAGAUGAAUUGCCUGGCUCCCGCCUGUCCCAGCCCUGGCCAUUGUGGCCAUCUAGGCAGUAGUGAACCAGUGGGUGGACGAUCUCCUCUCUGACUUUCAAAUAAAUAAAUGCCAGAGGUUGGGCCUGGCAGGCCCAUGGGAUACCUGUGCUUCUCCAAGGAGAACUCACCAGUGGAAUCCAUGCCCUUACAAGCUACCUCGUGUGACGAUCCUGCUUACAGUUGGUUAACUGCCAAACACCAAUGCCCUGAACUGUCCAGGGACCGCGGUUUCUGGCUGUCCGCGCUGAUGGGAGGGCGCAGUGCUCCCUGGGCUGGAACCAACAGGAAGGCUGCGGCGACAGACGUACCUUU